rfam:Trichuris trichiura, WGS project CBXK01000000 data, contig: TTRE_1891
CAAACGGCCCUUUUCAGGGCCACCUAACACGUGUGUUGUUCGGUG